CUUUUUAGGGUGGAUGCUUCUUACUUUGUUUAGGGCUGUUGUCUAGGUCUUCAGCCGUUGGUAUUUGAACUUUAUCUCAUCAGGACAGGCUGGGGCUGGAGGUUGAUUCCGUCAUUCAUACAUGCCUCAUUCACACAUCUAAACUAAACUAAUAAGAUUACAGCAGGGUUUGCAAAAAUGAAGGUUGGAGGAAGCUUUUACAAAAUGGAGUAGCUACCAUCUUUUAUGGCUUGUGACUUCUGAACCUAAUUCAAAAUCUCCAAAGAGUAAGGGGGCACCUGAAUUCUGUUGUCUUCCAGGAAAUGCAAGGGCAUGCAGGUUGUUUAUUGUUACUGUAGGACUUAAAUAGGCUUCUGGCAUUCGGGUGAAGAUCACACUGAACUUCAAACAAGAAAUAAAAUUGUGAUUAUUAAUAGGACUUCUGCACUUCUCUCCCAUAGAAUUCUUUUGUGUUUUCACAGCGGUUCCCUUUGAAACAGCAAUCUGUCAAAAUAAGCACUAUGGUCUGAAAGAUCUUUGGGAAUAUAACUUUAAUGCUAAAAAGUCAAAAGCAAUUGAUAAAAUAAGGACUGACAUUGAGGAAGUCAGUUUUGAGUGCAUAAAGUGAACAUAUCUGACACCCUGAGAUUCACCCAGGUUCUGAAUUCUUCAACAGCAUCUCUGGUAGUGCUGUAGUAUAAUAGGCUGAGAGCUAAACUGUACUGAAACCCUUUCAAGGUUUGCCCUCUUUUUAAAAGAUACUGUCAAGUGUCUAGCUCCAAUGAAUUGUCCUUGUAGCAGGAUUCUGAGCCAUGUCUUCAGCAGGAAAUACCAUAGGAAGACUAAGGCUAUGUCAACACUACAGCUUAUGUGAAUAAAUCACUCCCCUGAGCGGCAUAAGUUAUAUCAACAUAAAUGCGGUGCUCACAGGGGCUGGAGUAGUUAAGCCGAUGGGAGAGCUCUCUUCCGCUGGCUUGGAGCAGCUGCAUUAGAGAGCUUACAGCGGCUGCUGUAAACUCUGUAGUGUAGCUGUGCUCUAAAUCUCAUUCAGAUACGGGAAAGAGACUCCUCCCUUUGGAAAGAACUCAGGCCUUAUCCACAUAGGAAGGUUUUUCAGUAUAGAUUUUUCUACUAUAACUAUGCUGACGGGCAUGCACAGGAAUUUAAAUACCACUCUUUUUGCAGGGACAUGUCCUGUGUCCCCACCGUGGCCCCAGGGCUGGAGGAGCUGUCAACUCCUGCCGUGGCCCAGGGGCUGGAGGUGCUCUCUCUCCUUGCAAGGGACCUAGGGCCACAUGAGCUCACUUUCACUGUCCUGAGGAUGGAGAUGCUCUCUUCCAUGCCAUAGCACUGGGGCCAGAAGAGUUCUCUGCCCCUGCCAAUUAUUGGGGGGGCCCAGGCCCCAGCUUGCCUCCCAUUGUGCACACCCCUGUAAAUUGGUAUAAUGAAAGAAUGUGUCCAACAAUUCUUUGUUUAUGCCGGCUUAAGCUACUUCCCUUGGGAAUCAAAGUGUUUGUAGAAAGGGAAACUUUAUUAAAACGGUCUCAUUUGUAAGGAAUCCAGAAUGUAAUGUAAAAUAUGUUAAUUUUUGAAUUUAGCCACAAAAUUACCAGAGGAUGUUAAAAGGAUGGUCCCAAGUUGCAAAACUUGGAUCUUGACUAAAUCUUAUAUAUAUAUUUUAUCUGGGGUUUUGUUUUGGAUCCAUUGGGAAAAGUAAAGACAGAAGACUAUUUAGAGUAAAAAAAAAA